rnacentral:lncRNA from 1 species
CUCCGGCAGCAGGGACAGCCCCCUCGCAGCAGCGAUUCCGGAACUGAGGACUUUCCACGUUGUUUUUUGCCUGUUUUCGCUUUGUUACUUUUCCGUUCCAGGGGAGAAGAAAAAAACCCCAAACCAGGCACCAGUGAGUAAAUCGCCCUCCGCAGGCCGUCUGCUAGCUGAGAUCCCUCUGUGGGAGCCGUGGGAACAGAUGCACGUUCUCCCCCAAGCCUGGAAGGCCACCCCCCCAAAGGAAGCACAAGCUUUGUGGCUACUUUUACUUCUCUGCCUGAAUUCUCUGUGCUUGGGSAAGGAUGCACGUCUGCCGAGGGCUGAAGCCUUCCUUCUCCAUCCGGGGCAAUGCUGGUGGCUUCCUCUGUUGGCAACUGAAACCAAGGGAAAGACUGGUUCUGGUUUUGUUCUUGGUCAGAGCACUUAGGAGUGAGUCCCCACAGUUCAACUAACAAAUGACCCUUACAAAGGUACCUCACAAAUAAUGUUGGUGACCCUGCUAACAGAGGUGGAGUAAAUGAAGAUGCCCUGCAGCUGUGCCUCAGGCAGCAGGACGUCUGGGCGCAGCUGCCUCAGACCAUUGGACUAUGAGAGCUGGUGUUCAGAGUCAAGUGCGGGCAGAGGCUGCCUAAGGUGCAGCGAGGGGUGGUCAGGCCAUACCCUCCCGCCAGCAGAUUGCUAGUCUUGCCCUUUGGGCCUUGGUGACUCCUGUGCUCUAAGCGUAUAGACUAAGAUGCUUCUUUGAAAGUGAGCUCYGCCUAAAGUAGUUCUGCUUCCCUAGCAGUCAAAACCACACAAGUAAGUUGGUGAAUGUGUCUCACGUACCUGUUGUUCUUCCUCAAUAUGCCCACAUUUAGGGCACAUAUAUAGGACUCUUGCUGGAGCGGUUGCUGCCUGCUUGCCUCUCUCGCCCUGUGUGCUGCUCCCUUGGAUGGYGGGAAGAUGCCUGAAAAGAUACAGCAGGGUUGAGACCAUCAGAAAGCAAGCUCCUUCCCUGGGAGUGCUUGUAGACCGAGCACUUUCUCAGCACCCGCUAGUUCAUUGCGAUUGAAAGGGAAUGAGCAGAAGGGCCUAAUCUUCUGCAACAAAGCACUCGCACAGCUGCCAGAGCACAGCUGCACCCUCACCYCCUCCUCCAAGAGGCUCACCUCCGAAACGGCUUCUUCCUUUUGACUCUCUGCCCCUUGUCUUCCUUGCCUUUGWCCCCAGCCAUCUUGGGUGGAGAAAGCUGGUCUUGGCUAAGGAGGUAGCAGGAAGAAGUGCUGCCUGCAAGGGGGAGAUGAGAAAGCCUUU